AGCGAACGCUGGCGGCAGGCCUAACACAUGCAAGUCGAACGAACCUUUCGGGGUUAGUGGCGGACGGGUGAGUAACACGUGGGAACGUGCCUUUAGGUUCGGAAUAACUCAGGGAAACUUGUGCUAAUACCGAAUGUGCCCUUCGGGGGAAAGUUUAAUCGCCUUUAGAGCGGCCCGCGUCUGAUUAGCUAGUUGGUUGAGGUAAUGGCUCACCAAGGCGACGAUCAGUAGCUGGUCUGAGAGGAUGAUCAGCCACAUUGGGACUGAGACACGGCCCACACUCCUACGGGAGGCAGCAGUGGGGAAUCUUGCGCAAUGGGCGAAAGCCUGACGCAGCCAUGCCGCGUGAAUGAUGAAGGUCUUAGGAUUGUAAAAUUCUUUCACCGGGGACGAUAAUGACGUUACCCGGAGAAGAAGCCCCGGCUAACUUCGUG
rnacentral:rRNA from 1 species